rnacentral:rRNA from 1 species
GAUGAACGCUAGCGAUAGGCUUAACACAUGCAAGUCGAGGGGCAGCAUGGUCUUAGCUUGCUAAGACUGAUGGCGACCGGCGCACGGGUGCGUAACGCGUAUGCAACUUGCCUCACAGAGGGGGAUAACCCGUCGAAGGACGGACUAAUACCGCGUACACUCCAUCUUGGGCAUCCAAGGUAGAGGAAAUGAAAUUCGCUGUGAGAUAGGCAUGCGUCCCAUUAGCUAGUUGGUGAGGUAACGGCUCACCAAGGCGACGAUGGGUAGGGGAACUGAGAGGUUGAACCCCCACACUGGUACUGAGACACGGACCAGACUCCUACGGGAGGCAGCAGUGAGGAAUAUUGGUCAAUGGGCGAGAGCCUGAACCAGCCAAGUCGCGUGAAGGAUGACUGUCUUAUGGAUUGUAAACUUCUUUUAUACGGGAAUAACAAGAGUCACGUGUGACUCCCUGCAUGUACCGUAUGAAUAAGCAUCGGCUAACUCCGUG